AAUGCAAGUGUUUAACAGAUGCUUCACUAUUAAAAUAUUUUCCCCCCAAGUCUCAAAUAUUGAAGAAUCUCUAACCAGGCUCGAAACGCCGGUCUCAGUGGCUAUUGAGUUACCCACCAAGUUACCCCGGUUAGAGCUGUUUGGGGUGGCUCACGUUAUUGCGGCAAACUUUGGAGAUGACGGCUGAGUCCUCCGGGCGAACAUGUCAAGCCGAUUGUAAAUGCUGUUAUUUCCACAUCCUUCAGGGACACCAGUCCCUACGAAGACCUUGGGCGAUUUUGAAGUGCGGGCACCUCGAUUCCCCGAAUCUGUAGUGUGGCUGGUAUCGGUGUUCCCCUGGUUUAACUAGCCUGUUUGAAGGCACAGAUCAUUCAUGGGGAUGUAUAACCGAAACCAGUCCUCUCCACCGCCUGGGGAUCUUCACUUUCGCAGUCUACGACUGCCUGUGACUCCAGAAAGACAAACUGCAGAUUGGCCAAGCUGCCUGAAGACCCAGCCCGACAGCGAUGCCUGUCAGCCCGCGUCGCCCACCAGGGCAGCUGCUCUCCCAACUCGCAUGGGGGGCACCACCCCGCCUCGGUGCCCUAGAGCUGAGCGCAGCCGCGGCUCCACGGGGAUCGCCAGGGCCUCAGCCCUCGCGGCCGGCGGCGCGGGAGUGUUGCGGGGCAGGGACCAGAGCGCGAUCAGAGCGGCCACCCCCGAUUUAGGUCGCCAGCUUUCCAGUCACUGCGAUGGCCACUGGGGCGCCCCUUCCAUCCUGGUUAAAUUCUCAUUGUGAUCCCCAGCCCUCUUCUCGGUUCCCCACACCCAGGAGGCCGGUUCUCCGCCGCUCAGGCUGGGAGAGGUCACCGCUCCGGGCAGGGUGGACCCCCAGCUCCGUCUCGGAGGACCUUUCGCCGGAGGCGAGCAGGAAGGGGUUAACCAUGAGCCUCCCACCCUCACCUCCCAGACCCUGGUGCCGGGCUAAGGCCUCCGCUUCCCUCCUGAGGUCUCAUUAGGAAACCCUCACCGCUAUUUUCAACAUUUCCUCAAUCAAGUGCCUUUAAAUAGAGCUGCACAAACAGAUUGGCGGCAAAAGCGUAGAUCUUGUCACGAUUGAGACCAAUCCAGUAUUUCAGCCUUGUUUGCUUUGCAAUUACGGGUUGGCUUGUGGCUACGGUGCCACCGGGGCAAAUCUGCAGCCGCUCGCUUUCUCCUCUGCGCUCCGGGCGGGUGGAGGAAGCGACCCGCGGAGUCACUGCAGGGAGGAGAGGGGGACGCGCGCGGGGGGAGGCGGCGGAGGGCGGAGGAGACUCGCUUGCACCCCAGGGCCGCGGGCACGCAGAGCUGUGUUGAAGGACAUACUUUUCAGGUUCCUGACAGUCACUGAGCUAUACGC
rnacentral:lncRNA from 1 species